GACGAACGCUGGCGGCGUGCCUAACACAUGCAAGUCGAACGGAGACUAACGCUGAAUUGAUGGUAGCUUGCUAUUGGAUUUUCUUGUUAGUCUUAGUGGCGGACGGGUGAGUAACACGUGAGCAACCUGCCUUUCAGAGGGGGAUAACAGCCGGAAACGGCUGCUAAUACCGCAUAAUGCAUUGGAUUCGCAUGUUUCUGAUGCCAAAGAUUUUAUCGCUGAAAGAUGAGCUCGCGUCUGAUUAGCUAGUUGGCGGGGUAACGGCCCACCAAGGCGACGAUCAGUAGCCGGACUGAGAGGUUGAACGGCCACAUUGGGACUGAGACACGGCCCAG
rnacentral:rRNA from 1 species